GACGAACGCUGGCGGCGUGCUUAACACAUGCAAGUCGAACGGAAAGGCCCUGCUUUUGUGGGGUGCUCGAGUGGCGAACCGGUGAGUAACACGUGAGUAACCUGCCCUUGACUUUGGGAUAACUUCAGGAAACUGGGGCUAAUACCGGAUAGGAGCUCCUGCUGCAUGGUGGGGGUUGGAAAGUUUCGGCGGUUGGGGAUGGACUCGCGGCUUAUCAGCUUGUUGGUGGGGUAGUGGCUUACCAAGGCUUUGACGGGUAGCCGGCCUGAGAGGGUGACCGGCCACAUUGGGACUGAGAUACGGCCCAGACUCCUACGGGAGGCAGCAGUGGGGAAUAUUGCACAAUGGGCGGAAGCCUGAUGCAGCAACGCCGCGUGCGGGAUGACGGCCUUCGGGUUGUAAACCGCUUUCGCCUGUGACGAAGCGUGAGUGACAGUAAUGGGUAAAGAAGCACCGGCUAACUACGUG
rnacentral:rRNA from 1 species